GAUGAACGCUAGCUACAGGCUUAACACAUGCAAGUCGAGGGGAAACGGCAUUGAGUGCUUGCACUCUUUGGACGUCGACCGGCGCACGGGUGAGUAACGCGUAUCCAACCUUCCCAUUACUGUGGGAUAACCUGCCGAAAGGCAGACUAAUACCGCAUAGUCUUCGAUGACGGCAUCAGAUUUGAAGUAAAGAUUUAUCGGUAAUGGAUGGGGAUGCGUCUGAUUAGCUUGUUGGCGGGGUAACGGCCCACCAAGGCGACGAUCAGUAGGGGUUCUGAGAGGAAGGUCCCCCACAUGGGAACUGAGACACGGUCCAAACUCCUACGGGAGGAAGCAGUGAGGAAUAUUGGUAAAUGGACGGAAGUCUGAACCAGCCAAGUAGCGUGCAGGAGGACGGCCCUAUGGGUUGUAAACUGCUUUUGUAUGGGGAUAAAGUUAGGGACGUGUCCCUAUUUGCAGGUACCAUACGAAUAAGGACCGGCUAAUUCCGUG
rnacentral:rRNA from 1 species